rnacentral:ncRNA from 1 species
AAAAAGUUUUAUUCUAGCUUGAGAAUUAAGUAUAAUUUUUAUUUAUAUAUGAAUUUUAGUGUGAAAGUUUAAUAAUUUUAAAUAGAUUUUUAACGAAGUUAUUAGUAGUAAAUAGUUUUAAUAAUUAAGGAAACUUAGAAUUAGAAAUAAUUAAGUAAUAUUAACAAAAUUUGUGCCAGCAGUUGCGGUUACUCAAAUAAUAUAAUUUAAUUUAGUUAGUUUCAAUAAAUUUUAAUAUUAAGAAUUUUAAUUCAGGAUUUAUUAGGUGAAAUUUUAAAUUUUAUAAAAAAUUUAUUAAAGUUAAUGAUUUUGGAAAAUUUUAUUUUUAAACUAGGAUUAGAUACCCUAUUAUUUUAAACGUAAAAGUGUGACUAGAUUAGUAUUAGUUAUGUUCUUGAAAAUUAAAGAAUUUGGCGGUAUUUUAGUCUAUUCAGAGGAAUCUGUUCUGUAAUUGAUGUCCCACGAUUAAAUUUACUUAUUUUAAUUAAUUUGUAUAUCGUCGUAGUUUGAAUAUUUUUUUAGAAUUUUAAUAUUCAAGAUUUAAUGUUUUAAAAGAAAUCAGAUCAAGGUGCAGUUUAUAAAUAAGGAGAAAUGGAUUACAAUAAAAGUAUUUAGAUGAAUAAUUUUUUUAAAAAAUUUUUGAAAUUGGAUUUGAGAGUAAUUUUUUUUAUAUAAUAAGAAUGAUUUAAGCUCUAAAAUAUGUACAUAUCGCCCGUCGCUUUCAUUAUAAAGUGAAAUAAGUCGUAACAUAGUAGGCCUACUGGAAUGUGGGCCUAGAAAGA